CCGUAAGAUUGGAAUGGGAAUAGUUUGCUAUAAGUCAAAGAAACCAAAAUUCAUGUAGUAUUGGAAUGGGCUAAUUCCCAGGCGAAAAAUUCUACAAUUUUAACAUUGACACAGACUCGGAGAUUCCUAGGUCUGCUCUACUUCAACUCCCUUUUCGUCUCUUUUUCUUUCGGUCAAGAACAAGAUAACUCUCUGGUAUUUCUUGGACGCCCUCUCCUGACUUUAUGCAUAUAAUGAAAUGUAUUUAACAAAGGGUUCCUUCUAAACUAACAAUUAUAUUAUUCAAGAUUUUUUUUCCUGUGUGUAUGUUUAUCUUGUAUGGGUUCGUACUAAUUUUUUAUGGUUUUAGUCACAUCAUUAUUGUUGUAAAGAAUAAUUAUUGCAAGUAGUGGUGGGUUGUAGUUUAGUCUGUUAUUUACCUAUUUUUUUUUUUUUUUAAUCCAAGUAUUCAAUCUUACACUAGACUAAAUCCUGGAUCCCUAAGACCCUUGCCCCUAGAAUCUUGGAGGGGGUAAAUCGCGGGUUAUGCCUCAACUGGAUUACAGGUUCCCCCACCGUCUGUACACUUCUGCGCACAAGAGAUCCUCCUCCAAAGUGAUUGCUCCAUACCAAAUAAAUCUAGCCGCAGGUUUCCACCAGGAUUAAAACCUUCACCCUGCCGCUGGAAGCAAGACAAUAUUGAUUGAUCCACCAGUUGAGCUGUGCCCCGGGAGGCAGUCUGUUAAUUACUUGUUAUAAUGAGUGGGGGCCUACGUAUUCUUGACCCAAGGCUCGAACUAAUAGCAUAGGAGUGAAUUUCCAGACAUUUUCUGGACGAUAAAGGGCUCGAAUGCGACUCUUGUACCGCUGCGGCAAUGGGAGAAUUGGUUGCAUCAGCCUACAUCACAACAUAGUGUGUUUUAAACAAAAUAAACGAAAGAUUAAUGAAGAUUUUGUUUUGGAUGGUUUUUAUAAUAUGUGCUAUCAUUGAUUCAACACCUGUGAACCAAUAAAGGAUUUUACAUCGCUGUGUUUUAAAGAAAAUGCAAGAAAGAUAAAGAUUUCGUUUUGGAUGGAUUUACUUGUGAACCAAGAAAGGUUUUGAUGGUUGAAUCUCUUUAGAAUUACAUGGUCAAUUCUGGUAAGGAUCUUAAAUUCAUAGUUUUAUUUGUGUUCAGAGAAGGCAUGAGUUGGGACGACGACAAUGAGUUCCAUCUGCUGUUGUUUCCAUGUUCAUGAUGGGGAUGAUAAUGCUGGAUCGAAUACAAGGAACCAAGAUUGUUCGUGUCCCAAAUGCUGCAUUCAAUACUUAAUGAAUAAGUACAGGAAUCUAUUUGUCAGAGGAGGAUCACAUGCAAUCACCUUAUCUAAUCGACAAGCAGCUCCUUCAGGUUCUGAAGCAGCGCUUGACAUUUCAUAUGACAACAGUCAAUCUCAUAACAGAGCAAUGCCAAACAGUGGCAACUCCCGAAAUUUGCAAGUGCAACAGGAUGUAGUAAUGAGAUUAGAGGAGAAGGUUACUAGCCAAUCCCAAGUUGUGCCGAAACCAAUUAGACCAACUGAUUUUCACGGAAAUAUAAAAAUGUUACUAGAACACAAGAUAGAUGAAUCUUAUAGUGAAACAGCAUCCACUAAUUGCCAAUCCGAGUCCUCUCUGAAAGUCUUGUCAUCAAGAGUGGAAAGUGGAAUUGGCUAUGAGUUCUCUUCACCACACAAUGAGGAUGUAUGUCCCACAUGUCUUGAAGAUUAUGCUCUUUGAUGAAUCAAUUUAAAGUGCCACUGUCCAAGGACUGGAUAUAUGCUAGAGGAUAUGAAAUGUAAAUUUGCUGAUGCUGGAUGCAAGAGAAGACGUGAGUUGGGACGACGACAAUGAGUUCCAUCUGCUGUUGUUUCCAUGUUCAUGAUGGGGAUGGUAGUGCUGGAUCGAAUACAAGGAACCAAGAUUUUUCGUGUCCCAAAUGCUGCAUUCAAUACUUAAUGAAUAAGCUCCUUCAGGUUCUGAAGCAGCACUUGACAUUUCAUACGACAACAGUCAAUCUCAUGACAGAGCAUUGCCAAACAGUGGCAACUUCCGAAAUUUGCAAGUGCAACAGGAUGUAGUAAUGAGAUUAGAGGAGAAGGUUACUAGCCAAUCCCAAGUUGUGCCGGAACCAAUUAGACCAACUGAUUUUCACGGAAAAAUAAAAAUAUUACUAGAACACAAGAUAGAUGAAUCUUAUGGUGAAACAGCGUCCACUAAUUACCAAUCCGAGUCCUCUCUGAAAGUCUUGUCAUCAAGAGUGGAAAGUGGAAUUGGCUAUGAGUUCUCUUCACCAGACAAUGAGGAUGUAUGUCCCAAAUGUCUUGAAGAAUAUACUCCAGAAAAAUCCUAAAAUUAUAGCAAAAUAUUCUUAUCAUUAUCAUCUCAGUUGUAUAUAAGAGUGGAUGGAAAGAAGUGUAAGCUGUCCUGUUUGUGGAAAGAUUAUGCUCUUUGAUGAAUCAGUUUAAAGUGCCACUGUCCAAGGACUGGAUAUAUUCUAGAGGAUAUGAAAUGUAAAUUUGCUGAUGCUGGAUGCAAGGUGGGUUCGCAAUUGUUUUUGUUCUUAUAUAUGGAUUAUCAAAGGAUACAUAGCAUUUUGAGGUUGAAUUCUGUAUUUUGUGUUUUCCUUUGCCGAUCCACCCAAAAUUCUGUUAAUUAUCUGCCCAUGAUGGAUGUUUUGAAAAGUUAGC